rnacentral:rRNA from 1 species
UACGGAGGGUGCAAGCGUUGUUCGGAAUCACUGGGCGUAAAGGGCGUGUAGGCGGUCCGCUAAGUCUGAUGUGAAAGCCCGAGGCUUACCCUCGGAAGUGCAUUGGAGACUGGCGGACUGGAGUCCCGGAGGGGAGGGUGGAAUUCCUGGUGUAGCGGUGAAAUGCGUAGAUAUCAGGAGGAACACCGGUGGCGAAGGCGGCCCUCUGGACGGUGACUGACGCUGAGACGCGAAAGCGUGGGGAGCAAACAGG